GGCUGCUACCAUGCAGUCGAGCGAUGAAGUCCCUUCGGGGACGGAUUAGCGGCGGACGGGUGAGUAACACGUGGGCAACCUGCCUCAAAGAGGGGGAUAGCCUCCCGAAAGGGAGAUUAAUACCGCAUAAUAUUAGAGCAUCACAUGAUGUUCUAAUCAAAGGAGUAAUCCGCUUUGAGAUGGGCCCGCGGCGCAUUAGCUAGUUGGUGAGGUAACGGCUCACCAAGGCAACGAUGCGUAGCCGACCUGAGAGGGUGAUCGGCCACAUUGGAACUGAGACACGGUCCAGACUCCUACGGGAGGCAGCAGUGGGGAAUAUUGCACAAUGGGCGAAAGCCUGAUGCAGCAACGCCGCGUGAGUGAUGAAGGCCUUCGGGUUGUAAAGCUCUGUCUUUUGGGACGAUAAUGACGGUACCAAAGGAGGAAGCCACGGCUAACUACGUGCCAGCAGCCGCGGUAAUACGUAGGUGGCAAGCGUUGUCCGGAUUUACUGGGCGUAAAGGAUGCGUAGGCGGAUUUUUAAGUGAGAUGUGAAAUUCCCGGGCUUAACUUGGGAGCUGCAUUUCAAACUGGAAGUCUAGAGUGCGGGAGAGGAAAGUGGAAUUCCUAGUGUAGCGGUGAAAUGCGUAGAGAUUAGGAAGAACACCAGUGGCGAAGGCGACUUUCUGGACCGUAACUGACGCUGAGGCAUGAAAGCGUGGGUAGCAAACAGGAUUAGAUACCCUGGUAGUCCAC
rnacentral:rRNA from 1 species